GGAGUUAGCCGGUGCUUCUUCUGCGAGUAACGUCACAGAUGUAAGGUAUUAACUUACACCCUUUCCUCCUCGCUGAAAGUGCUUUACAACCCGAAGGCCUUCUUCACACACGCGGCAUGGCUGCAUCAGGGUUUCCCCCAUUGUGCAAUAUUCCCCACUGCUGCCUCCCGUAGGAGUCUGGGCCGUGUCUCAGUCCCAGUGUGGCUGAUCAUCCUCUCAGACCAGCUAGGGAUCGUCGCCUAGGUGAGCCUUUACCUCACCUACUAGCUAAUCCCACCUGGGCUUAUCCAUCAGCGCAAGGCCCGAAGGUCCCCUGCUUUCCCCCGUAGGGCGUAUGCGGUAUUAUCAGUCGUUUCCAACUGUUAUCCCCCACAAAUGGGCAAAUUCCCAGGCAUUACUCACCCGUCCGCCGCUCGUCAUCUUCAAAAGCAAGCUUUUAGAAAUGUUACCGCUCGACUUGCAUGUGUUAGGCCUGCCGCCAGCGUUCAAUCUGAGCCAGAAUCAAACUCUGA
rnacentral:rRNA from 1 species